CAAUCAGACGACACCAGGGCGUACGUGCCUGUGAGCUUCCGGUUUUUCUCUCUCUCUGUCUGCCGCAUCGUGUUAGAGGCAGCGCUUGUUAGCUUCUGCUGCAGACUACGCCGGUUUUUUUGUCUAAAAGAGCCAGAUUUUCCAAGUCUAAGCCACUUUUAUGGUUGGAGCAAAGAGUGGAGCCCUUCUCUUUUCAUGGUAGAUGAGCGGACCGUGUGUUUAACAACGGAAACGGAGGAGAACCGUGGAUCCUGGACUGAUGAGAGCCCUGUAUUGUGCCUUGUGCCUGGAGUGUGUGUGAACUGUGAGCCUCUGGCCGGGUCUUUUUCUUUUCCUCGUCUUUUCCUUUUGUUUUAAUUCCCUUCUUUGUUAUGGACUCCUGUGCUGACCUUGAAGAAAUCUUCUACUGGGGACUCAUCUUGUGUCUGUAAGGUAACACGGGACCUCAGUGGUUGUGGCGGGCCAACCCAAGGAAAGAACCAGAGACUGAAAUUUUGAUAGAGACUGAUUUAUUUGUGGAUCGUGGUUGAUAUUUCAUUGUUGAAGAGCUGAAAAGCAGAGAAAUUAUUUUGUACAAUUUAUUUAUUUUUUUUCUUCUUCUUCAACCAUUCUUGUUCAAUACAAUUCAUUUAAAUACUUAUCUUUGAUGUGCGUGAAGUUCUUUAUUCCGUCACUCAUUGCAGUUUGUCAAGCCUCCCUUUCUCCUGUAGCGACCUAGAACCUUCUGAUACUGGUCCAAGAGGGAAUUGAUACACUGAUGAAAAAUA